rnacentral:snRNA from 1 species
AAGCGACGCAUGCGCCCGCCGC